AUAUAUGCAUGAAUUUGAUGCAUACUUCCUUCUUUAAUCUACAAUAAUCUAGACACUGGUACUCUUUCUUGACCAGAAAAAGACUAGUGCUCUUUAUAGCCGAUAAAAUCUAAAGAAUAAAACAUUAUAUGUUUUGACUACUUUGGGACUACAUCUGCUACCAGAAAUCAUGUACAAAUAAAAUCGAACAUGCAUCCAAAAUACGAGCACGUGGACGUUAUUACUUAAUUAUAUGUGUGUGUGUGUAUUUGAAACCUAGUAUUAUUAAGAUGAGCCCCAUUCUUUUAAUUUCUAAUUAGAAAUUAAUUUCUAAUUAGAAAUUAAUUUCAGGACCCAUUCCAAUUAUGCUUACGGCAUUAUUUACAUAGUUUAUGGCUUUUUUUUUUUUUUUUUUUUUUUAAUGUUCAACACUUCUGUUGAACAUCUAGGAUACAAUCUGGAAACAAAGUUUGUUUACUUUUAUCUUCUUUCGUUUUUGUGCGUACAGCUAGCAGGCCAGCCAAAAUUUGCAUAUUCCCGUUCCAAACAUUUGAAUGCAACCUUUCCCCUCUGUUUGUGGACUAACUGUAGUGAUCCUGGAAGCAUGAAAUUAAUUUUUAACAGCCAAACUGAUUUGGUUUUGAGGCCAGGGCCUUUGGAAAUAUGAGCUAAUUUCUAUACACGAAUCUAAUCCAAUCUUCAAAAUCGAUUGAAAAGCCAAAAGAGUGCACACAUCAUUGGUAGGUACAGGACGAUCCCCCCCCGGGGCAAAACCAAACAUUCUAUUAAGAAACUACGUACACACACCACCACAUAUUAUUAAUUAGUAGUGGAUUUUUCUAAAGCGGGUACAUGGUACACCGUAUAUUGACAUGAACUCUUGCGAAAUAGUUGCAGGAUGUAAGUAGUCGGUAAAUCAGCAUAAUACAACCUGUAUAUUUGUAUUCUAUGGUGGGUUUGGGUAAACGUGGUUGCUCUUCUUGGUGUUUGAUGUUUCAGCUUUGCAAGCAGAAGUGGAAGGACAAACCUGGACUAUUUGAACAAGAAUCAUGCUCUUAACUAACCUUCUCCUUGAUGGAAUUACGCUCCCUGGUUUUGGAUUGAAUGUUUUUGGCUCAUCAACUGAAAUGUCGCUCUUCAUUUCCAUCUCCAUACUUUGUGUUAGAGAGCCUAUGAGUGUAUAUAGUGGUGCUGUUAUGCUUUCUUUUUCUUAACCUUUCGGUGAUUUAUAUAAGCGCAGAAGGUAGGUAAAGGGUUCGAUGAUGCAUGGUAGGGUACGUCAUGACUGGUGACGCAACCACCGAAGUUAAAGCGUGGUGGUCAAGUUCUUUCAGCAUGAAACUGGUUUAGACUACUGCCUUUUGUUGACAGAGCAGUGACGGAGUUACGAUUUUGGCCUAGAAGGGGCCCUAAAGUCUCAAUCUGAAUAGUUCUUCUAAUCUCACAUAAAAUACUUGGUUGUGUGGUGAGGAACUGACCACCCUUGAAAUUUAAGCUUGCUAUGGUUUUAUCAUCAUUAUUUUUCUUAAACCUAAACUCCAUGUUUUUCUAAAUUUCUUACGCUCUCCUUUCUCUUUAAAGCUCACAAGCAACAGAUUGUUUGAAUUAUUUAAGAGCCACCAAUCUCAAAUCAAAACCAAAUAAAGAAAUUAACUAAAAAUCUUAAAAAUCAUGAACAUAACACUAAAUAUUUUUGCAUGAAAAAAUGUCAUGAUUGGCCUGGGAUCAUUGUGGACCCCUCCGCCCAUGUGACAGGAUAUUGGCUGGUGUUCACAGCCCACCUACUAUUAUAAUACCCCCACAAUCUUUCUUUCGUAGAUUUCUUUCCAGUCAACGCACCAAGGCAUAUUCUUAGGCCGCAUUUUGUGCAGGGCGAGUAAACCUUAACCGACCAUGGCAAACAAAUAUGGACUAUGAUUAUCUCUCUUAUUCUUUUUAUCAUUUUUUAUUCUUUCAUCUCACAUUCUCUAUUUUGUCUCUCAUUUUAUAAAAAAUUAAUAUAAGAUGUUAACGUGACUUAACCGUGAUCGUUCAACUAAGAGGAGAAGGAAGGGAAGGGACAAAAAGAGAGGAGAGAAUCCUACUCCAACAAAUAUAUAUAGGCAACCAUUUUGUUCUCCAAAAAAUUUAAAAUUGGGUAAAGCCAUAAAACUCAAUUCAUAAAUCAAGAUCUUGAACUUCAUAAUUUCACAAAACCGAUUAAUGCGAAAUAUGUAAAUCACAUACAUUGAUAAUUAGUCGUCAAACAUCAUCUACAACCUUUAACUUGAGUGAUCCAUAUAUGAACCGUUGGUAUGGAGAAAAUUAGGUUUCUCUCUCUAGCCUUACUUUCACUAUAAAAUUCCAAUACUUGUUUUUUCAUUACCGUACACAUUAGAUAGGUAUGUGCAGCUUUAAAGAGAAAGAGGACUUAUUUCUAACAAAUCUCAUAAUUAAGAGGACUUAUUUCUAACAAAUCUCAUAAUUAAUUACCACUCAUCACGAUGAUAAAGUAGGAAAUCAAUAGUUUGACUAAAAAUGAUUGCUUCCAAAAUUUUGCGAAGGUGAAGCUUUGUUCCGAUUUGAGUACCGAUGUUUAAUUGAAGUACAUAUCCCCUUUUUUCUGUGUGCGUGUUGGAGGUUACCCCUGAUUUAUCAUUUACAGUCUGUAUUUCUUAUUUUGAGUUAAUUAACUUACAGGUACACUCUUGGUUGUCUCAUUACGUUGUGAUGAACCCUAUGAAGUGCCUGCUGCAAGGAGGUAAUGACUUUAUAACUCAUAUAAAUCACUAUCGAAAUAAAAUCAACAUUAUAAGAAUUCAGUGUACAAGGGUUUUUUUUCCUAGGACCCUAGACAUUUCAACAAAUAUGAAAUUUGUUUUCUCCUUUCUUUCUUUCUACAUUUUUUUUAACCUUGCACCUUUUAAAUUUCGCUCAUCCUCCGAUAAUUUCUAACAUCGUCACUGUGUGUAAGAAGUAACAAUAGGUGUGUGGAUAGCACUACCUAUUUUAAAAUGAGAGUUACGAUGGAUACACAGAAUAACGAAAGAAAAUUUCAGUGGUGACAGCAAGUAGGUUUUGGUAGUAAAGACCUUGUGACACCAAAUGGGGACUUUUCUCGUUGUGAUUUUUUAUUUAUUUUUUUAUCAAACAUUACUUCCAUAAAAAACUAGUACAAGAAAGAGAGACCAAAAGGCCUCCUAAAAACAACAGUAGGUAAGGUAAAAGGUCCAAACAAAAUGAGAGUUGCAAGCCUACAACACAAGAUACAACGGGAGGCCCACACAAAUUUAGGUAUGAAGGCUGAAAAAACAAACAACAAAAAAACCUAUUCUAAAGCAGUAGAAACCAAAUCGUCGUCGCCACCACAUCCUCAAAGAAAGCCAAACUCCAAAACAAAAAAGUAGACACUAGACUUAAAUUCCCUUUAUGAUCCCCUACAAAUAUAUACAAACAAAAUAUCAUAUGGAUAAAGUUGAGACUAAGAGGUAUGUGAAAUAUCCUUAUUGUGACGAAGACCACAGAACACAUGUCCUCAAUGAGAAUCCGGCAUGCCGGUUGAGAGAAGAGAAAUGGGGAAGGAAAAUGAAUCUGAUAUCCAAUUGACAUUAUUUUAGAAUAAAAAAUAAAAAUCGGCAGCACUUAUAAAAAUGCAACUUCAAGUCAAGUCAAAUCAAAUCCAAAGCUAAAUAUGACACUAAAUGCUAAAUAUUUCAUUGGGCUAUGUUUCUUGACCCUGUAAAAGUUCAUUAUGUUCACGUCGAGUCAAGAUAGACAAAAUUAAACUUCAUUUUGGUCCAUUAAAGUAAUUAAGUAAAGCACUCAUCUGAAAUUAGGUAGCGAUUUUGCUUUCACUGAUUAACCACUUUGUAGUUUGCAGGUUAAACUUAUGCCUUCUAUUUUCAGUUGUACAACUAUACUGGUGGUCUCCUGUUUGUUGAUUUUCUUCAACUUUUCGUAGAUGAAUUCCGACGCGGCUCUACAGAAAAGGAUACGGAGCACAAAGUAAGGGGAUUUUCACAUAUAAAUGGGGUCCUUGGGUAUUGAAAAUGACAGAAAUAUUAUGUGUGGGGGUUUGCAUAGUGAGGCUUAGAUGGAUUACAUUUUUCCUUUUUAAGAACCAAAUUGGAACUUGAAAUAUCUGGCUGGAGGUUUUGGGCCAUACAAGUCCAGAAUUGCAGAUGUGUUCAUUGAACUCAAUAGUAAUGCAGAGCUCUCAAUCUGUUUUAUUCAUUUUGUUGGUGCGCUAAAUUAACUCUAACCCUUUUGUAUUAUUACUUCCCAAUUCAUCGUUUCCCACCCCCCCCCCCCUCCCCCCAACAAAGGAAAAACAUUUGUUUUUGGGCCGGUCCAUAAAAUUAAAGGAAAAUUAAUGAAAAGGGCUUGAAAACUUUGAGUUUUAAUGAUAAGGACAAAAUAAAGGGUAAAGUGAAUAGUACCAUGAUUGAUUUUUUAGUGUAAAAAUGUGGUUUUUCGUUAAAGUGAACAGUACCGGGUGCUUUUCGUUAAAGUUCUCUAAAAUUAAAUAUCAAAAUACAAAAAACAACUUACAAUAUAUAUCGUCAUCGGGGUUUAUCUUGAUUUCUGUGGGGAAAAUGGGGGGUUAACUGUAAUAUCUCAGAUUAAUUAUGAAUUGUCUAUGAAUCUAAUUACCAAUCGUGGAAUUCAUAAAAUUUAUCCAGAGAGAGAGAGAGAGAAAUCCCAGCAUCUUCUAUGAAAUCCAUAAAAAUUAUACCAGCAUAACAAGGAUAUUAGCAGAAACACAAUGACUCUGUACUAAUUAAAAAAUAAAAAACAUAGUUCAUAUGCAAAUCUAUGGUGACCUAGGAUAAACAUGGUUGCUGAUGACCUUCUUGGUAUCUGAGUCUGAACCAGAGCAAAACCAUUUGACAAUUUGAUCAAGCAUCAUUCUUUUCACUAACCUCUUCUUCACAGGGAAAACACUUCCAGCUUUUGGCUUGAAAAUCCAUGGCUCAGCCUUGUUGUGGAGUUCCACCAUUUGUUCUUGUUGAGAUGGGUUCUUCAACUUCAACUUCAUCAUCUGCUCUUCCUCCACUGCUUCCGAAGCCUUCUUCUUCAUUGCCAUCUAUAACUUUCUCUUUCUUUUUUUUUUUUUAAAUGUGUGCUUGGAUGUGCUAUAUAUGAAGUUAUGAACUUCUGAACCUCCAUGAGAUGAGUUUAUAUAGAUGAGAAAACGCAGAAGCAGCCAAGAAUGGUUUUAAUGCCCGAGUAAUGAUAGGAAGACUAAAUUUAGAGACUAAAAUUACAAACUAAAUGAUGUGUUAUCAAUAGAAAUAAGCAUGUCUAUCAACGUUUAAGUAAUAAAUCAAUUAUUAACUUACAUAGUUUUUAGUUUUCAAAUUUUAGUCUCCAAAUUUAAUCUUUCUAGCAUUAUUUCUUAAUGCCCACGGCAGAUGGUGGCAGAAUAUUUUCAUGGACCAUUUGAGUCUGUGACCGUAGACUCAUGGCUAAGUACUGAUAAUUGACCUUGAUCGCUUCAAUUGUCCGAUCGACUUUUUUGUCUGUCAGGAUUGAGAAUAUUUGGUUAUAAAUGUUGGGAUUUGCCUGAAGUUCAGCCUUGUACUGGUGUUGUGGCGUGGAAGUCUUCAAAGUGAAGACGUGAUUCGACAUGAUUUGUCUGCCACUAGCAAAAUUGAAAGCAGGUCUUCACUUGGUCAUUUUUCAUGCAAUUGUGCUUUUUCUUCCAUGCAUUAAAUGGCAAAUGGAGAAAAUGAUUGCAAGCUAUAGGCUGCGUGGAGCAACGGAUUUAAAUAAGAAAACUAAUGAAAAGGGUUUGAAAAUUUUGAGUUUUAAUAAUAAGGACAAAAUAAAGGGUAAACAGAUUUAAAUAAGGAAAACUAAUGAAAAGGGCUUGAAAAUUUUGAGUUUUAAUGAUAAGGACAAAAUAAAGGGUAAAGUGAAUAGUACCAGGAUUGACUUUUUAGUGUAAAAAUGUGAUUUUUUAUUAAAAUGAACAGUACCAGGUGCUUUUCGUUAAAGUUCCCAUUUAAAUAUGGUACGUGAACUAAAGGCCAAUUUGGUCUUAGUUGUUGGCUUCAGUUUAAUGGGUUGCCGAUGAUGUAUGCCUAUAACUAGAAGUAAUAUUGGUGCAUUUGGUAUGGAUUCGGAGUUGAACACGGGUUGAGAGAAAAUCAAAGAGUAAGAGUGAAAGAUUUCUUGGGAGAGAGUAAGUUUUGGGGAAAUACUGUGAGAGGAUGUACAAGGAUUUUGAGAUUAGGUCAAUGGAACAUGAAAGGCAUAUGAUUAAUUGGGAAAUUGGAUUGGAUGCUCUAAAGAAAAAGAAGGAUUUUCACACUUCAAGUUCUCUCUGUUUGGAGAGCUUGCUAACAAUUUUUUUUUUUGAUUCUCGUUUUAUGUAAUUGAUUGAAAAGAGAGUGCAAAUGAAUAAAAUUAAAGUGUGAAAGCUACGAUUGUAAGAUAAUAAGAGUUUGUUUGGUACCAAUUACCUAAAAAUUAAUUGAAUUAGAUAACUCAUGAAAUUCCAUUUAUAUUGAAAAUAGAUGCCAAGGAUUACAUGAACCUUCUAAUUCUAUCAUUUUUUUUAAUUUUAAAUAUUAGAGAUAUUUUAACAUCACAUGUAAGUAAGGCUUCAAUAAAAACAGUAGCAUUUGGACCAGUGAAAUUACAUUAUUACCCAUCAUUUUUUUUUUAUGAUGGAUGACUAAGUUGUUUUUUCACCCUCUUUUAAUUGACAAAUAGGAUUUCAUUAAUUAAUAGAUUAAUAGAUAUUAAUAGAGAUAUGCAAAACCGACUAACAUAAAAGAUAGUCAUCUGUUUCUUUGCACUUCCAGCUUUACAAUAUACCAUGCAUAUGGGGGUGGUUUUCUGAACACUUUUUCUAGGGAAAAAAAAUCGAAAGUAUCUUAUUAUGGUUUAUGAAAAGGAAUAUGAGCAUUCAUGUCAUGGGCCACGGUCAAUUGACUCAUGGAAAGAACAGAGAAUGUAUCUUAUUAUGAUUUGUGAAAAGGAAUAUGAGCACUCGUGGGUCAUAUCAAUUGACUCGCUGAUUAUUUGAUUUGAAAGAGCAUAUUCAUAGCAUUGUUGUUACUAAGAAGAUGGAAACGCCUUAAAUAUAGCAGAAUGUUUCUUUAUUUUCUACUUUUCUAGCUUGACAUCUCUAACAGUUUUAUGGGUUAAAUUUCUGGCUUGUAUUGAACCCUUUUGAUUGUAAAAUGGUGCUCUUCCAAUUUUUUCGUAUUUUCUUCCACUCUUUAUAUAUAAAUGACCCAGUGAACAUUUGAACUUUAGAUGGAGAAGAACUUUGAUAUGCCACAGAGAUUUUACAUUGUUUUACAAAUCAAUCGCAUACUAUUAAGGGAUACAUCCAAUGACAUCCUCAUAAGUGAUUUGAUUGUGUUAUUGUAUGUUUUUUUGGAUUGAAAACUUGAAGUCCUUUUCAAGUUUAAAUUGUCAAAAAACAACAGAAAAGGCCAAAGACGGUUGAUGUCAGGUACGUGGUGGGAAGCAGCAUAUUCAUGGACCAUGUGACCUGGUCUCCAUGCCACUGUUUUCCUUAGAGUGACAUUUUGUAAACAUCCUCCAAUUUGGCACCAAAAUGUGUCACUUAUUUUGAAAAAUUUGGUCCUUUUACAACGUAAAAAUUAAUUCAGAAGAGUGAGUUUGGCAAUUUUUAUAUAGUUCCUUAUCAAAUUAGUUGAAGAAAAGAAGAUUGUGAGCGAUUAACGGAGUUUGGUAAUGUUACUUCCCUUUUUUAUAAUUGUUGAGUGAUCAUCACCUUAUUAAUUAGCAAACACAAUCCAGGAUUGGAAAAUUGAAGACAUAUGAUCUUGUUAGACAUUUUCUAAAAGCAUCAUUAUAUGCAAUUCCGUCAACAUCAUCGAGAUGCAUGCUUGGAGCUAGUUUCCAAUAGUUUGAUGCCAUCAGUUCUCAAAAAAAAAAAAAAAAAAAAAGUUUGAUGCCAUCUGGUUGAAUAGAAAAAGGCAUCAAAGUGUAAUUAUAUUUUCUUUAUCGUUUAUUCCUGUAUAUGAUCCAAAUCUUCAAACUAGCCAAUCUGCGUUUCCAUUAACUUCGGACAUAAUAAUCAUGCGAGCCUUAGAAAAAGGUCUCCUACUUACGUCCCCCUAGACCUUUGGGACACGCAAGCUAGUGAGUGCCAGAAAAGGGUAUCUCCUCAAACAUUUUUUUUCAACCUACCUAUUAUUUGAGAAAAAUCUGGUGUGUUAAAUUGUCAAUGUCAUAUGGUUUGUCUUAUCAAGAUGCUAUUUACAUACUUUUUUUUUCAAUUUUUAUACAUUUUUAUUAAAAUAAUGUUAAGAAGAUUAAAUUUGUAGACUAAGUUUUGUAAACUAAAUGAUAUGAAAGUUGAUGAUUAGAUUAUUACUUAAACGUUGAUAAACGUGCUCAUUUCUUAUUGGUGACAAAUAAUUUAAUUUGCAAUUUUAACUUAUAAAUUUAAUCUCCCUAGCAUUACUUUUUUUUUCUGUACUUUAAUCAUCUUCAAUUCAUUCGAUAUAACAGCUGAAAAUUAAGAGAGAUCUGUGGCCAGCAUCAUUUUAUCAUAAAUUGGUAUAAUUUUAAUAUUUUGUAGUGUAAAAUGAAAAGUUCAAACAUCAUUACCCCUUAAAAAAUACCCCAAAUUUCAAGAGUGUGAAAUACUGUUAACCUUGAAAUCAAUCAUUUUCUUUUCUUCUCGUGAAUCUCCUCUGUCCAUGACAUCUCUCCCAAUUUCAGUCAUGGAACUUGUGUUUGUUAUAUAAGGUGACGAUCACUCAUCAAUUUUGAUGUUAAAAAAUUAAUAUGAUUCUGACAGUGAGUAUAAUACAUAGGGUCCCGUUUAUAUCACAUAUCAAUUUUGAUGUUAAAAAAUUAAUAUGAUUCUAACAGUGAGUAUAAUACAUAGGGUCCAGUUUAUAUCACAUAUUCGUCACGUAUGAUAUUAUUGGGAUCCCUUGUUUGUGUAUGUGCACACUCCCCCAACUACGUUGUAUUAAAAAAAAAGAUCUUUGAUUUUCAUUUUGAAAGUAGUUGCAUGCAAAGCAUGAACAAUUUCAUGGAAUAUUUAAGAAGAAGAUUUCCAAACCAACACCCCACCCCCACAAAAACAUUCUAUUAUGAAACUACGUACACACACAUCACCACACAAAGCAUAAUACAACCUGUAUAUUUGUAUUCUAUGGUGGGUUUGGGUAUACGUGGUUGCUCUUCUUGAUGUUUGUUGUUUCAGCUUUGCAAGCAGAAGUGGAAGGACAAACCUGGACUAUUUGAUCAAGAAUCAUGCUCUUAACUAACCUUCUCCUUGAUGGAAUUACGCUUCCUGGUUUUGGUUUGAACGUUUUUGGCUCCUCAUCUGAAAUGUUGCUCUUCAUUUCCAUCUCCAUACUUUGUGUUAUAGAGCCUAUGAGAGUGUGUAUAUAGUGGUGCUGUUAUGCUUUCUUUUUCUUAACCUUUCUGGAGUUUAUAUGAGUGGAAAGAGAUCCUCUCUGGAUCUUUUCCUCCAAAACCCAAGGAUCAAGUGAUC
rnacentral:lncRNA from 1 species